rnacentral:tRNA from 1 species
CAAGGCAGUGGAUUGUGAAUCC